rnacentral:rRNA from 1 species
AGCAACAAAUGCCCUGCUUCCAGGAAAAGCCUCUAAGCAUCAGGUAACAUCAAAUCGUACCCCAAACCGACACAGGUGGUCAGGUAGAGAAUACCAAGGCGCUUGAGAGAACUCGGGUGAAGGAACUAGGCAAAAUGGUGCCGUAACUUCGGGAGAAGGCACGCUGACACGUAGGUGAAGUGAUUUACUCAUGGAGCUGAAGUCAGUCGAAGAUACCAGCUGGCUGCAACUGUUUAUUAAAAACACAGCACUGUGCAAACACGAAAGUGGACGUAUACGGUGUGACGCCUGCCCGGUGCCGGAAGGUUAAUUGAUGGGGUCAGCGCAAGCGAAGCUCCUGAUCGAAGCCCCGGUAAACGGCGGCCGUAACUAUAACGGUCCUAAGGUAGCGAAAUUCCUUGUCGGGUAAGUUCCGACCUGCACGAAUGGCGUAAUGAUGGCCAGGCUGUCUCCACCCGAGACUCAGUGAAAUUGAACUCGCUGUGAAGAUGCAGUGUACCCGCGGCAAGACGGAAAGACCCCGUGAACCUUUACUAUAGCUUGACACUGAACAUUGAGCCUUGAUGUGUAGGAUAGGUGGGAGGCUUUGAAGUGUGGACGCCAGUCUGCAUGGAGCCGACCUUGAAAUACCACCCUUUAAUGUUUGAUGUUCUAACGUGGACCCGUUACCCGGGUUGCGGACAGUGUCUGGUGGGUAGUUUGACUGGGGCGGUCUCCUCCUAAAGAGUAACGGAGGAGCACGAAGGUUGGCUAAUCCUGGUCGGACAUCAGGAGGUUAGUGCAAUGGCAUAAGCCAGCUUGACUGCGAGCGUGACGGCGCGAGCAGGUGCGAAAGCAGGUCAUAGUGAUCCGGUGGUUCUGAAUGGAAGGGCCAUCGCUCAACGGAUAAAAGGUACUCCGGGGAUAACAGGCUGAUACCGCCCAAGAGUUCAUAUCGACGGCGGUGUUUGGCACCUCGAUGUCGGCUCAUCACAUCCUGGGGCUGAAGUAGGUCCCAAGGGUAUGGCUGUUCGCCAUUUAAAGUGGUACGCGAGCUGGGUUUAGAACGUCGUGAGACAGUUCGGUCCCUAUCUGCCGUGGGCGCUGGAGAACUGAGGGGGGCUGCUCCUAGUACGAGAGGACCGGAGUGGACGCAUCACUGGUGUUCGGGUUGUCAUGCCAAUGGCACUGCCCGGUAGCUAAAUGCGGAAGAGAUAAGUGCUGAAAGCAUCUAAGCACGAAACUUGCCCCGAGAUGAGUUCUCCCUGAGACUUAAAGUCUCCUGAAGGAACGUUGAAGACGACGACGUUGAUAGGCCGGGUGUGUAAGCGCAGCGAUGCGUUGAGCUAACCGGUACUAAUGAACCGUGAGGC